GGGUUGUGAGGUUAAGCGACUAAGCGUACACGGUGGAUGCCCUGGCAGUCAGAGGCGAUGAAGGACGUGCUAAUCUGCGAUAAGCGUCGGUAAGGUGAUAUGAACCGUUAUAACCGGCGAUUUCCGAAUGGGGAAACCCAGUGUGUUUCGACACACUAUCAUUAACUGAAUCCAUAGGUUAAUGAGGCGAACCGGGGGAACUGAAACAUCUAAGUACCCCGAGGAAAAGAAAUCAACCGAGAUUCCCCCAGUAGCGGCGAGCGAACGGGGAGCAGCCCAGAGCCUGAAUCAGUGUGUGUGUUAGUGGAAGCGUCUGGAAAGGCGCGCGAUACAGGGUGACAGCCCCGUACACAAAAAUGCACAUACUGUGAGCUCGAUGAGUAGGGCGGGACACGUGGUAUCCUGUCUGAAUAUGGGGGGACCAUCCUCCAAGGCUAAAUACUCCUGACUGACCGAUAGUGAACCAGUACCGUGAGGGAAAGGCGAAAAGAACCCCGGCGAGGGGAGUGAAAAAGAACCUGAAACCGUGUACGUACAAGCAGUGGGAGCACGCUUAGGCGUGUGACUGCGUACCUUUUGUAUAAUGGGUCAGCGACUUAUAUUCUGUAGCAAGGUUAACCGAAUAGGGGAGCCGAAGGGAAACCGAGUCUUAACUGGGCGUUAAGUUGCAGGGUAUAGACCCGAAACCCGGUGAUCUAGCCAUGGGCAGGUUGAAGGUUGGGUAACACUAACUGGAGGACCGAACCGACUAAUGUUGAAAAAUUAGCGGAUGACUUGUGGCUGGGGGUGAAAGGCCAAUCAAACCGGGAGAUAGCUGGUUCUCCCCGAAAGCUAUUUAGGUAGCGCCUCGUGAAUUCAUCUCCGGGGGUAGAGCACUGUUUCGGCAAGGGGGUCAUCCCGACUUACCAACCCGAUGCAAACUGCGAAUACCGGAGAAUGUUAUCACGGGAGACACACGGCGGGUGCUAACGUCCGUCGUGAAGAGGGAAACAACCCAGACCGCCAGCUAAGGUCCCAAAGUCAUGGUUAAGUGGGAAACGAUGUGGGAAGGCCCAGACAGCCAGGAUGUUGGCUUAGAAGCAGCCAUCAUUUAAAGAAAGCGUAAUAGCUCACUGGUCGAGUCGGCCUGCGCGGAAGAUGUAACGGGGCUAAACCAUGCACCGAAGCUGCGGCAGCGACGCUUAUGCGUUGUUGGGUAGGGGAGCGUUCUGUAAGCCUGUGAAGGUGUACUGUGAGGUAUGCUGGAGGUAUCAGAAGUGCGAAUGCUGACAUAAGUAACGAUAAAGCGGGUGAAAAGCCCGCUCGCCGGAAGACCAAGGGUUCCUGUCCAACGUUAAUCGGGGCAGGGUGAGUCGACCCCUAAGGCGAGGCCGAAAGGCGUAGUCGAUGGGAAACAGGUUAAUAUUCCUGUACUUGGUGUUACUGCGAAGGGGGGACGGAGAAGGCUAUGUUGGCCGGGCGACGGUUGUCCCGGUUUAAGCGUGUAGGCUGGUUUUCCAGGCAAAUCCGGAAAAUCAAGGCUGAGGCGUGAUGACGAGGCACUACGGUGCUGAAGCAACAAAUGCCCUGCUUCCAGGAAAAGCCUCUAAGCAUCAGGUAACAUCAAAUCGUACCCCAAACCGACACAGGUGGUCAGGUAGAGAAUACCAAGGCGCUUGAGAGAACUCGGGUGAAGGAACUAGGCAAAAUGGUGCCGUAACUUCGGGAGAAGGCACGCUGAUAUGUAGGUGAAGUCCCUCGCGGAUGGAGCUGAAAUCAGUCGAAGAUACCAGCUGGCUGCAACUGUUUAUUAAAAACACAGCACUGUGCAAACACGAAAGUGGACGUAUACGGUGUGACGCCUGCCCGGUGCCGGAAGGUUAAUUGAUGGGGUCAGCGCAAGCGAAGCUCUUGAUCGAAGCCCCGGUAAACGGCGGCCGUAACUAUAACGGUCCUAAGGUAGCGAAAUUCCUUGUCGGGUAAGUUCCGACCUGCACGAAUGGCGUAAUGAUGGCCAGGCUGUCUCCACCCGAGACUCAGUGAAAUUGAACUCGCUGUGAAGAUGCAGUGUACCCGCGGCAAGACGGAAAGACCCCGUGAACCUUUACUAUAGCUUGACACUGAACAUUGAGCCUUGAUGUGUAGGAUAGGUGGGAGGCUUUGAAGUGUGGACGCCAGUCUGCAUGGAGCCGACCUUGAAAUACCACCCUUUAAUGUUUGAUGUUCUAACGUGGACCCGUAAUCCGGGUUGCGGACAGUGUCUGGUGGGUAGUUUGACUGGGGCGGUCUCCUCCUAAAGAGUAACGGAGGAGCACGAAGGUUGGCUAAUCCUGGUCGGACAUCAGGAGGUUAGUGCAAUGGCAUAAGCCAGCUUGACUGCGAGCGUGACGGCGCGAGCAGGUGCGAAAGCAGGUCAUAGUGAUCCGGUGGUUCUGAAUGGAAGGGCCAUCGCUCAACGGAUAAAAGGUACUCCGGGGAUAACAGGCUGAUACCGCCCAAGAGUUCAUAUCGACGGCGGUGUUUGGCACCUCGAUGUCGGCUCAUCACAUCCUGGGGCUGAAGUAGGUCCCAAGGGUAUGGCUGUUCGCCAUUUAAAGUGGUACGCGAGCUGGGUUUAGAACGUCGUGAGACAGUUCGGUCCCUAUCUGCCGUGGGCGCUGGAGAAUUGAGGGGGGCUGCUCCUAGUACGAGAGGACCGGAGUGGACGCAUCACUGGUGUUCGGGUUGUCAUGCCAAUGGCACUGCCCGGUAGCUAAAUGCGGAAGAGAUAAGUGCUGAAAGCAUCUAAGCACGAAACUUGCCCCGAGAUGAGUUCUCCCUGACUCCUUGAGAGUCCUGAAGGAACGUUGAAGACGACGACGUUGAUAGGCCGGGUGUGUAAGCGCAGCGAUGCGUUGAGCUAACCGGUACUAAUGAACCGUGAGGCUUAACCUUACAACGCCGAAG
rnacentral:rRNA from 1 species